AACCUCUUUGUUGCUCUUCUCUCCACUCUUUCCAGAGUCUCAACAUCUCUUUUACAUCAUGGCAAUCAAAACUGGAUGCCGUAUUCCAAGUGUGGCCUUGCCAAGGCACUAUACCACUUUAACACUUCACGUGACUUGAUCUAUCCCUCUGUUUAUGCAGCCUAGAACUGCAUUGGCUUUUUGGGCAGCUGCUGCACACGGCUGGCUCCUAUUCAAGUGAUUGUCCACUUGGACUCCGAGAUCCCUCUCACAGUUACCACUAUUGAGCAAGGGAGGCUUACCAUGGAGAGGGGAACCAGACGGACUGCUGGAAAGGCCCGGCACGGGACUGCAGCGCCCUCCUUGUUUGGUGGUCAGCUCUUGCUCGAUCUCCUCCAGUCCUGCGCUCUUCUGGAAGCGGCUCAUGCGGUUCACGACCCGGGGCGACAGAUGGAUGGAUGGACGGAUGGACAGAUAUUACAAAUAACUAAAGGUGGAGAACAAUAUGUGGCCCCUAUUCAUUUCACAGAAUAGCCCAACGAGUUGAAUCAGUAUCAAUAAAACAGCUC